CCAGCCGCAAAUAAGAUAUAAAAUCUUCGCUGAUUUACUCUAUUUUCUUAUUCCUGCCAAUUUGUUUCUCAUUCUCGCUGCUGCCGUGGUUGCAUAUCCUGCUACCUGCUGUCCCAUCCUUGCUCUACUUAAAAAAGAAAAAAAAUAUUUUUCCUCCCGAAGGCUCUAGAGGCGGAGGAGGAGCGGAACCAGGCCUUUCGUCCUCUUUCUACGGCCAAGACGUCCAGAAGCUACGCGCGGGUCCCUCCUUCUUCCCACAGGCGGAUCAGGGAGCCUCUGCAGAUUGACCUUCGUUUGGAUUCGGAUUCAGGUUUGAUCCAACCCAAAUCCAAAUCGUCUGAUUUGGCAAGGAUUUGAUCAACAACUGGGGAUCCUGAGUUGAAUAUGAUAUCAAAUCCGGUGAAUUGGUACAGUUUCGGGCCUGGAUAGAAGCUGUAGUGAUGCCAGAUUGGAAGGCGGGCGAGUUUGAAGGUAAAUUCAAGGAUGAAUUUGCUCGGGGUAAUAGCAACUUGCAAGAAGAUGGAGCAGGGCCUUUGAAUAUCUCAAAUAAGAAACUGAAGCAUGGGAUUACCACUGAAGAGAACCCGCAGGGUGUCGUGUCUACAGCAACUAAUUCAGAUUCACGGAAACUUAAUUCAGACCACAUCUACUCUACCUGUGUGGUAGCUUCCGACCAUGUAAGAGACUGCAAAAUUGAAUCAAGUGCUUUUCCCUUGAGCAGAGAUGAUACUACAUCUGGAACAAGAUACCAAACAGAAAACUGGAACAAUUGCCAGUUUGCACUGAGUAAUGGCUCAGCUGUUCUCAACAAUCACAGUGUUCCGCAAAGUGAUCUCAAUUAUGGAGAUAAUGAUCUAAACUUCAUUGAUUGGCCUAGCAUUGAUAAUUUUGAGGAUGUUGAUACACUAUUCAGGGGGUGUGAUUCCACAUAUGGUGAACAACAACUGGAGAACACUGAUGAGCUGUCAUGGAUUCCUUCUUCAGAUGCCAUUUACUCUUCCGAUGUUGCUCUGCAGGCAGGUUUUGACUCUUCUUAUUCAGACUAUGGUAUGCUGGAUGACCUGUCAGCAUUCCCUUGUGCACAAGAUAAAUCCCUACCAACAGCAGACGAGCAAUUCAAUGACAAUUAUCCAUUCAAUGAGCAAAAGAAUGUUGAUGUAUAUGGAGAACAGGCUUACCAGGGGGGUGCAAUGGAAUUGUUGUCCACUGACCAGAUAUGCAAUGGAGAUGGAAACCUUGAUAUGAUUGGCGAGCGAUAUUCAUCAGAAAAUGCCUUGCAACAGUUGGAGGACAGGAAGUUUUCUGUACCUUCAGGAUCUCAAUUAAGCUCCUCCCAGAAUUUACUGAAGCAAAAGCACCACUCAGAUAAAACUUCACCAAGUAACAUUACUUCUGAUUGCUAUUCAGAUAGAAACUGCCAGUUCAGUCCAUCUGGAUCUUUUGCACAGAGGAACUUGAUGGUUCAAAAACAAGUGGCUAAUUUGCAACCAGGACAGCUCAUAAAUGAUGAAGGACAACUUGGUCAACAAACAUUGUCUAGAAGAGCUUCAUAUCCUUGUGAGAACUACGAGGUUGAAAAGAAGGGCUUUGGAAAAAGAAGUAAGGAUACACUGGGUACAUCAGUAGUGGUGGAUGGCUCUUUUGUGUCGUCUCUUUCUUCUGAUAAUUCAGUUGAAGAAAGCAGCUUCCGACAACUUCAGGAUGCAGUUAGUCAGUUGGAUGUGAAAACCAAACUGUGCAUUAGAGAUGGUUUGUACCGCCUGGCAAGAAGCGCGCAAAAUCGACCAGUUUUCCCAAAUGCGAUCAAUAGACAUGAAGAAAGCCGGGAUGCAAAGGAUACACAAAAUAUGGAAACUUCGGGCAAGUUUGUUGAUCAUAGGAGCAUUGAGACGCAGACAAAUCCAAUUGAUCGUUCUAUAGCACUCUUACUUUUUCAUCAGCCAUCAGACCAAGUGGCUGGAGCUGUUGACAAUCCUCGCCACUAAAAUCUCAUAACGAGAACCACAAGGCCUAUGCUAAAAACUAGGUUGGUUAAUGUUGCGAAAAUUACUGGAGAUGGCUCGUGGAAAUUCAAGGAUCGCCUUUAUUCAUAUGUAAUCAUCAUCUCCGUGAAUGCAGGAGCAAUUGUGAAUGUUUAUCCGAUAUGGUAUGGUAUGCACCGUUUUAAUCGUUAGUCGGCUGCAAGAAAAAAAAAGUACACCAGUUACAGCCAGCCGUGACUUUUGGUACCCCUAUUGUGAAUUCGAUCGCGAAGGUUGACUUUGUGUUGUUCUGACUAACAUUUUGUGUAAUCUCAAGACACAGAUAUUGACUUGUAUAAUGACUAUUUUGUGUAAACUUGACAAGACGAUCUCUAACUUGUGCAGAAAAUUUCUUAAA